rnacentral:rRNA from 1 species
GACGAACGCUGGCGGCGUGCUUAACACAUGCAAGUCGAACGGAAAGGCCCUGCUUUUGUGGGGUGCUCGAGUGGCGAACGGGUGAGUAACACGUGAGUAACCUGCCCUUGACUUUGGGAUAACUUCAGGAAACUGGGGCUAAUACCGGAUAGGAGCUCCUGCUGCAUGGUGGGGGUUGGAACGUUUCGGCGGUUGGGGAUGGACUCGCGGCUUAUCAGCUUGUUGGUGGGGUAGUGGCUUACCAAGGCUUUGACGGGUAGCCGGCCUGAGAGGGUGACCGGCCACAUUGGGACUGAGAUACGGCCCAGACUCCUACGGGAGGCAGCAGUGGGGAAUAUUGCACAAUGGGCGGAAGCCUAAUGCAGCAACGCCGCGUGCGGGAUGACGGCCUUCGGGUUGUAAACCGCUUUCGCCUGUGACGAAGCGUGAGUGACGGUAAUGGGUAAAGAAGCACCGGCUAACUACGUG